rnacentral:tRNA from 1 species
GGGCGAUUGAUGGGAAUUGGUAUACCUUUCUGACUUAGAAUCAGAAGUUUACUGGUUCGACUCCAGUAUCGCCCACCA